AUUCUGCAAGUUUUCUCAUCGAUGAAACAUUUGAUCGCAAUACAGUGUUCUGUUCUCAAAACUAUAAUCUGUUACGAACAGACUUUACCCUUUGCUAAAGUUGAAAAAAAAAAUGGCAUUGUUUAAAAGGAGUGCAAAGGCGAAUUUAGUUCCCUAACGUAAAUAUGCAAAUGUAUGCUACACGCGCCAAUAGGAUCUCGCUAGGUCGUGCUUGGCUCUGCCCAUCUCCUUGCUUGUUCUGCCCACUAUGACUCAUUUGUUCCCAUUUGAAACGUCGAAUGGUGGUCAAUCUUUGGUUUAGCUCUUAAUUUGGUAGGCGAAGCAAAAAUCCAAACUCUAAACCAGUGGUCUGGUCGAUCUUCAAGGUAUUCCUAGUAUAUCAUGAAACAUUUCAAUGAUAAAACGUGUUGUGCUGUUGGCGGUAGGUUCACUUAAUUCAGAAGCCCUGCGCACCGGGUGGGCAAAGUGGUCCAAUGUUUUAAACAUUUAACGAAAAGACAAACUUCGCCUACCCGAGUUCUGUGGUUUAACCCGAGUGUGCCUACUGUGCUGGCCAAUCGGAUAGCUCAAAUCACUGUGACUACAGCUUCCACGACCAAUGCCACAGCAACGUUUGAUAUGAGCCAAUGAGCAACAUGAAUUUGUGCAGAUGUGGUGUGACUCGAGUUUUGCCAUCAGGUGGAAGACGGUGUCCCCUCUCUGGUCAGACUCACUGGAGGAAAGGAAGGAGAGAUCAGGGACCGUGAGAGGCUGACCCUCUGCUGCUCUCUCCUUCGCUGAGACUAAUACAGUGUUCAAAACAACUGGGAAUCUCUGACUUCAAAUCCCGAGUUGUCUUGAAAGCACCUUACAGAUGCAGGUCCCAUCAGUCCAGUCAAAUAAAAAGCAAAUUAUUUGCACGUUAUUUAUGUUCAGCUGUGCCUCACAAGUGCUACACCGUCUGAUCUAUUUUGUUAUCAAAGGCUGAGUUUGAAAUAUAAUAUGAUCUGAGAAUAACAAUAUUAGCCAGCCAGGCAUAUAACCAAUAUGCUGUGAUAAUGGUCCCAUGUUUCAUGAGCUGAAAUAAAAGAUCCCUGAUAUUUUCCAUAUGCACAAAAAGAUUAUUUAGCUCAAAUUUAGUUUACAGCUCUGUUAGUGAGCUCUCCUUUGUCAAGAUAAUCCAUCCACUUUACAGGUGUGGCAUAUCAAGAAGUUGAUGACACAGCAUGAUGAAUUCAUUUUUAAAUGUAACCUUUCUUAGCCUAGGCAAGUCAGUUAAGAACAAAUUCUUAUUUACAAUGAUGGCCAAACCGAGGUGAAUUGUACACUGUCCUAUGGCCCUAUAUCCCAAACACAAUCAGUUGUGAAACAGCUUGGAUUUGACCCAGGGUGUCUGUAGUGACACCGCAAGCACUGACAUGCAGUGCUUUAGACCACUGCACCACUAGGGAGCACAUUUCAAUUGACUGAUUUCCUUAUAUGAACUGUAACUGAGUAAAAUGGUUGAAAUUGUUGCAUGUUUCGUUUAUAUUUCUGUUCAGUAUAUUAGGGCUACUGCACAAACCCCAUUCAUACAUAACA